CCCUAUAAAACUAGGGACACUAUGAGGCUGGUUUUGAGGAAGCGGGACCCUACUUGCCUGGGGACGCAAGAAGUCACCUGGCACUGUGAGAAGCAAGGAGUCAGGGUCGGAGCUAUCGAGGAAGCACCGCACCUACUUCUAACUGCAAGAAAGCUCGGAGACAUAGGAACAGACAGAGCGGAGCUACUAGUCACAGCGCUGCCCAGGGUCCUGCCAGUAACGCCCCCGGGAGAGGUGGAGAGGCUCUUCGAUCUGGCCUGCUCUCCAGAAAGAGAUGAAGACAGGCACCUAAACUAACGCCAAGCUCUCAGUCUCCUUAACCGCAUUCAUGCCCAAGCGGCCCUGAAACAAUCAAGGGAACACCACGCAGUGGGGUUUCAGUAUUUUACCUUGUGUUACGGUCCCAGUCGACCGCCAUGUUUCACAGAAGCCCGGGCCGCCGGGGCUCCCGUGUACCCGGAAAUAUCGCGAGAACAAAAGCGACUAUCACCACUGAAAACGUCAGAAGGGAGACCAUGUGGAGUUCUCGCGAUAAUCCCUGCGCUUACGAAUUGUUUGGUGAAUCAAGAGGCGUGGUCACGGUGCAAGGGGCGUGCCUAAACUGAAAGGAGACGGAGACGCGUUUUUAGGUGUAAUCGCUUGACCAAUCCGGAAUCUCCUUCUGCCGGGAAGAAGAGGUUGCUUUCCACUACUGAACGCAACAGACCUCAGUACUGGGUGUUGCUAAUUUGCUAAGGCAGCUUUGUGCAUUCCAAAAUUGUUUGCUGACUGGCUUGGAGAAAUCCUCACACCCUUAACCUCAUGGAAGUCUUCUGUGUUGUCAUGGUGUGAAAGAGAAAACUCACCUUCUCUUACCUGAAGCCUCGUGUUUGCCAAAGAAGAAAAAUGAAUGUGAUGACUUACAUGUGGUAUGCAAGAUAUAAAUUGAAUGACCGUUCAGAUUGUGAGUUCCCAGGAGUUUCAGAGGUCUCUAUCCGAAGUCAGCUGAUUCCAUUGCUCUGUGCCUGAGGUGAGGCAGAACAUCAUGGCAGAAGGAUGUGGAAGAAGAAAGCUGCUCAGCUCAUGGCAGCUGUGAAACAAGAUGACCAGGUGCCAGUUGGAAAUCCAGGUUAUCACUUGUGUUCUUACCUGACCAACUGCAAAUUGGGGGAUCCCAUGAUUUCUUCCUCAGGUUUGAUAAUUUACUAGAAUGGAUUAAGGAAUUUAGGGAAACAUUCUAUAUUUACCAAAUCAUUACCAAGGGUUCAAUUCAGGAAUGGUCAAAUGGAAAAGAUGAAUCAUGAAGAUAUGAUGGAGAAGAGACACAGCUUCAAUGUUCUCUCCUGGCCCACCACCCUCCAGGCACUACCUUCAUGUGUUCAUAAACCUGGAAGCUGAGACAUAUCCUUUGGGAUUUUAAUGCAUUGAUCUAUGAACUGAGGCUUCUGGAAGUGAAGAGACAGAAGUUCUAGCACUCAUGAAGCUUGCAUUCACUAGGCAAGACAGACAAACCACAACCAUGAGAAACAAUCAUGAUGUAUCAGAGGACAGUAAGUGCUAAGAUAAGGGGACCAAUAAUUAUGGAGGCAGGGAUGGUACCAUUUACAUCUGUCAAGGUAGAUCUUAUUAAGAAGACAGCACUCCAAGUCAAGAAUUAAGAGAAGCAAAAAGUCUUCUAGUUUUCUUCGAUAAAUGAAAACUUAUUCUAUGUUCCUACAUUAACCAAAUUAUUUUAACUGCCUUCUUACUUCUCUCCUAACUGAAAGCCAAAAAGUUUUCACAACAUCCAUAUAUACAGGAGGAGGAACGUUUGCUUUAUUGAAACACAAAAAUUUGUCACUACAUAAAAUGAAAAAUGAGAUCUUAUUAUUAGCCAAUGUUUUUAAUCCUUCUAUUUAAAAAUAUUUAACAUCAUUUGCUUUAAUGUUUUCAUUCAUUCAUCUCUCCUACCCUUGAAUCUCCUUUUUUUCUUUUAAACGUCUUUUGAACUUCUCUUCCACUAUAUAUUCUCUUCUGGCAGGGUCCUGGUGUGUUGAAGAAGUUUGGCAUCUGUAUCUCUCCCCGUCCUCUUUGUAAAUUCACAUUUUGGAAAAAAAAAAUAAGGGUAUUUAGAAGAAAAAAAGUACUCCUAUUUUACAUGAAUUAAUGUAGAUGUGGUAUUAUUCCCCAAGUCAAAACUCACUCUUGAUCAUAAGCUGCCUACACAGAAAAAGCUUCUUGUACAGAGUCUGAAUGCCAGGAAGGAUUACUUGCUAUCUUUCUCUCAACUUGGUUUCAUAAAUAAUCAGAAUCAAAUCUCUACAUAUGAGAUCCAAGGAAUGAUAGACACACAACAGGAAACUUUAUCAUACUCUUUGGUGCCACUCUGAGCACCUAGGGACUUUCCAGAUUUCGUCUAUAAUGCAGUGGAUAUCUUGGAGUUGAAAAAAAGGCUCUGAGCUCUUCUAGCUUCACUUCAGAAGCUGCAAUUCAGAACAUAUGGACGUUAGGGACCAACAAAGAUGAGGCAAAGAGAAACAAGGUUCUACCACAAACUUGAAAGACCCAGGCUUGCAAGAAGAAAAUUAAAACUUUAUUCCCAUCAGUUACAUGUUGACAAGAACUUGUAAAGAAAAUGAUCAUUCCAUUAAGUUUGUUCUAUUUUCUUGAAAUGUAAUUGUAGAUUUUAAAUUAAUUUUAACUGAAUUUUUAAAAGAUUUCUCAGAAAAUUAUUCGUAUUUUGGGGGCAAGUGAUUACAUUCAUAGAACUAGUGACUGAGGUCAAGCAAAAGAGAACUUGCUGAAAUAAGGGAGGUCUCUCACUCUAGAACUUGCUAAGUCCAAGGGCACAUUUAGACCUGUGAGUACCUGCUGCAGUUUUGGUGCCAAUAGCGCUCUGGUUCACUGAUUUUGCAAUCAGCUUUUCCUCCUAAUAGUCCCAUUUAGGCUUCAUCCUUGACUAUUCCUUCUUUCCCUAUGUUUAUUCCUCAGACAAAAUUUUCUAAGCAAUUACAAAAUGAAAUAUCCUAUAUAUAUUUAUAUUCUAAUAUGUGGAUUAGUGAAUACAUACACUAUCUCAUAAGUUCUGCCCUACAGAAAUUAAUCUAGUAAAAGGAAGCAUAUUCAUAAAAAUACUUUUAUGAACAUUAAAUAUGAUAAGUGGCCUAAGGAUAAUGAAGUGCUGCAAGAAUUCAGGGUUCUAGCCAAGAUAGGUGGCGCACGCCUGUAAUUCCAGUGGCUCAGGAGGCUGAGGCAGGAGGAUAGCAAGUUCAAAGCCAGCCUCUGCAACUUAGCGAGGCCCUAAGCAACUCAGUGAGACCCUAUCUCUAAAUAAUAUACAAAAAAGGGCUGGGGAUGUGGCUUAGUGGUUGAGACCCUCCUGGGUUUAAUCCCCAGUACUCCCCUGCAAAAAAUUUAAGAAUUCUAGUCCAUUGCUUAGUCCUGUUAUUUCUUGAUAAAUUAUUUUUAUUUGUUAAAUAUUAAACAGAUAUUUUCCAGGUCUAUUUUAAGAGCAAACUAAAUGAUCUCUCUGUCUGUAUUCUUUCUCCACCAGGCUCUCUAAUUUGAACAUGGCGAGUAAAACAAAAUAAUUAAGUUCCUUCCCUAUGCAAAACAACUGAAGUAGUGCAGCUUUCACGGUGUUUCAGAAUCUGGAUCCAAUAGGUCUGUCCAAUAUUUUUUUUUUCUCUCUCUCUGGACCCUCUAUGACAAAUCUGCCUAGAAAGGUGAGUUAGUACAAAAAUCACAUAGAGUCACGAGUUCCCAGCCAGUCACUGCUUUUUUAUAAAUAAGAAUAACAAUCUCAAAACCAUUGCUAUAAUUUGCUAAUUCCCUAGUAUAAAAAGCAAGUGGUAGUAGUGGUUGAAGGUUAACAUGGCAUAAUCCUAACAUUUAUCUCAUAAAAUAGUCAUAGAAAACAAACAAACACCCUAUCAUAAAAAAUUCAAAGUUCUUAGGCAUGCAUAAGCAUUUCUGUGCAUACAUAGAAAUAUCUUUUUACAUUUUUUAAUAUUUAUUUUUUAGUUGUAGGUGGGCACACAAUCUUUAUUUCAUUUUUAUGUGGUGCUUAGUAUUGAACCCAGUGCCUCACGUGUGCUAGGCAAGCACUCUACCACUGAGUCACAACCCUAGCCCCCUUCUUUACUUUAACAUUCAUUUUUUAAUAGCCUGAAUGGAACUCAAAGAAUACAUUGGUGUUGUGGCCAACCAUCACCACAACUUAAUGACCUUUAUCUUGAGUCAGAUCCCCCUCCCCACCUUUCUAAGUAUUUUCUAGGUAUUAAAUGAAUGAUGUCAAUGACUACCUAAGUUAACUCAGAUCAUUGAAACUGAAGAUUUCAGGACUUUGGACCCAUGUCUUCUCUUCAUCUCAGCCUUCAUUCUAGAUUUACUUUUAAUUCAAAUCAGCGUCACUCCAAACAUUCAUUCUUUGACUCCUAUAUUGCCAGACAAAUGCUCCUGGGUCACUCCUCCUCAUUCCUAGACUAUUUAGUGGUUAUUUGCUCCAACAUUACUUUUGUCAUACUUCUUGGUGAUUUCAAUAGCUAUGUAGACAAUGGUUCCAGCAGUGAAGCUUCCCAAUUCCUCAAUUUUCCUAUAAUGAGCUCAUUUUCCACCUGGCGUUGGCCAUUCAUCCCAAUGGUCAGCCUCUAGAGACUUGGUCAAUAGCAAUAACUCCAAGCCUUCCACAAGUGUGUUCAGGCUCUUGCCCCUGUUGACCUCCCUGGAAGGCUAUAACAAAGAUGACAGAGAAGAACCCCACUUAGAUGCAGAGGUGGAUGGUGUGGAUGAAGACAAGGAGGAUGAAAACGAGGAAAAUGAGAAGGAUGAGGAGGAAGAGCUUGAUGAAGAUGAAAAUGUAGAAGGGAAAGAUAAUAAAGUUGAAGUCAUUGGGGAGGAAGAAUUUAGGCAUGAGGGAGCAGUAGAUAAAGAUGAAGAUGAGGAUGAAGAGGAAGAAAGUGAGAAAGGUGAAAAGAGAAAGAGAAACAGAUGAUGAAGGAGAAGAUGAUUAAGACCCCAGAUAAACUGCAAAACCGGAACUGUUCAGUAUAGAUUGGACUGCAUAUGGAUUUGAUAGAUGUUUUAAAAAAUGGUAGCUGUGAUACAAACCCCUGGACACCCACCCAUCCAAAGAGCCAAAGAAGUUCCUGUGACAUUCUGCCUUCUUCCUUUUAGUGCCUCUUGGUAAUCCACCAAGCUUAAGGACUUUGCCCCAACAAAAUUGUAAGCAUUGUUACGUUUUUUUUGGGGGCAAGACUUGCUGUAGCAUGGAUAGCUGUGAUUGACACGUCAACCAUCCGUGGCUACCAGUUAUACCAAAAUUAUAACAGCAUUUUUACUUUCUGUACAACAAACAUGCAUUGUAAAUAAAAUCUUAACAUUUUGGGUCAAAAAAUAAGUUUUAAAAAAGUAUCACUCUCUUGAACCAAACUCUUCCAUCUUUUCAGCUCCCCACCCAACACUCUACCUUUGAGAUUUGUAAUUUAUCUCUUGUUUAUCCAAAACCCAUCUCUCAUUCAUAUUUCAUUCUUUACCUAUCUUAAAUUUCAGAUCUGAGGUUGUGGCUCAGUGAUAGAGCAUUUGCCUAGUACAUGUGAGGCACUGGGUUUGAUCCUCAGCGCCACAUAAAAAUAAAUAAAGAUAUUGUGUCUGUCUACAACUAAAAAUACUUUUUAAAAAUUUCAAUGAUCAUUUUAAUCACUUCUUCACACACUUUACAUUCUCAUAUACUUGGGGAAGCUUCAUUAUGAUAUAAUAUCCACCCACUCUGAGUCUAUCUCUGUGUCUUCAGAGGAAAACAUACAUCCAGACUAACUGGGAAGUCUCUCCCUAAAUUCAUGAUCAUUCACCUUGGGGAAGGUCAGGCUGCUCAGCAACCCUACCACGCACGCCUUUCUAGCCCAAACACUAUCAUUUUUCUAAAGAAAAAUUUCAUACUUGCUGUUUUCUCUUAAAAUUAAAUCAAACCCUCUUACAUACAUCCUUCUAUCAUCUGCUGAGAAAAUAGAAGCAAUCAGAAAAGAAUUUCCGCAAGCACCCAUACACCAGCACACCUGCAUCACUGCCUUAAAUAUCCUGCCUUUUAUCCAACAACUCUGUAUGAACUUUGCUUCUAUCCAAUACUACCCUUCCUUUUAAGAAGUAAGUCCCAGCCCCUUUCUUCUACUCAAGGCAGCACUCUAACAAUUCUACCUUCUCUUUCUUGCAUCCUCUUCAACUUUCUUCCAACUCCUACUAGUUGUCAUCUUGGGAGGAGUGCAUGUGGAGGUCGGGCAGAGGUGGUGAAAAAGACUAUAGUGUCCCAGAACUUUCAUACAAGUCUGUUACAGACUUCUAAUUCUCUGAUUACUCUUAACUUUUGAUUAAAAUAAAAAAUCCUAGUAGCAAACAUACACUGGCAAUUGUAGGAGAAUUAAGAGUAUUAUUAUCAUCAUCAUCAUCACCAUCAUUAUCAUCUUUAUUUGCAGUGCUCAGAUCAAACCCAGGGCCUCACACACAGUAGGCAAGUACUCUACCACUGAGCCAUAUAUCCAGCCCAAGAGAGAUUCUGAUGCCAAUUUUGUUAAUCUUAUACACAGUGUUUACCAAGAAAGAUAUCUGGAAGUCUAAGGACCUUUAAACGGUAGGAGUAAAUGUCUCAGAGUUUAAAAUAAUCCUAUGCUAUUCCCCCAAAUUCAAGCACUUAUUCACAACUACAAGAUUUAUCACCUGCAACCACUAUAAUGUGGGAUGGAAAACAUCCCCAAACAAUGUGGCUCCUACCAACUAGAAAGAAACUACAGAGUUUGUGGCAUUCCAAAGAAAAAUUAGUGAAUCCAGGUUUACAAUGCUUUUUGCUCAAUUCUUUCUGGAUGUAUUAAUGAGAUAAUGUAUACACAUAUUACCUGGCCCAGAGGCACUGUCUGUUGGAAGUGUGGAUGUUGGCAAUUGUUUUCUUAAGGUUUUGCUUUUAUUUUUUGUUUGAAGUGAAGUAAUACCUGUAUUUGGGGAUAAUACAUUAAAAAUAAAGAUGAAAGCCUGAGGAAAAAAUGUACUCAGUCCCAAAGCAGCUACUAUAAAAAGAAAAUGCAAAUCUAGAAUUAAAGCAGCCUUAGGAAAAGUCAGUUUUACUCAAUUUUGACAAAGGGGGAAGUUAUUGUUAUAGAAUCUUGCAUUUUAAUAUGUUUAGAAACUAAAUGAAAUAUGAUUCUUUUCUCUAAUACUCAUUUAUACCAUACUUGACAAUCCUAAACCUACCCUAAAGAAGAGGCUAGAACUCCAGUGGCACAAUGGGUUAGCACGCAGUACUUAUAUAUUAUAAAACAAUGCCUCUUUCUUAUAAGAGGGGUUGGAGGGGAAGGGAGAGGGCAUAGGGUAAUUAAUGAUGGUGAAAUGUGAUGAUUAUUACUAUCCAAAGUACAUGUACGAAGACACAAAUUGGUGUGAAUAUACUAUGUAUACAACCAGAGAUAUAAAAAAUUGUGCUCUUUCUAUAUAAUAAGAAUUGUAAUGCAUUCUAAUGUCAUAUAUAAAUUAAAAAUUACAUAAAAAUCUUACCCUUGAUUUUGGAUUGGAUCCAGUCCAAGAAAACCCUUACCCUGGCAAAUACACCUGGCUUCCAUGGCUGGAUGCAGCCAGCUCCCCAACUGACGAUGCCAUAGAGGACAAAGGGACUAUUUUCAUGUCUACAUACUAAUGGCCCACCAGAGUCUCCCUGAAAUAAGAAAAAAUGUUCCAGAAAACCACUUUAUUCUGAAGUUCCUGCUUUCACAUUUUAGAACAGGAAUGACCAAUGUAUUUGACCAAUGUAUUUGUUUUUUUAAAAUGACUUGCUCCUUUUCAAUUUUUAUGCCUUAAUUGUAUAUUUGCAUUUUUCCCAUUUUAAAAGGGAACAGAUAAAAAUCAAUGGAAUAUUAAUAUUAUUCAACAAUCAAGGAUAAAAUUAUGGCAUUUAUUGGCAAAUGGAUGAAACUGGAGAAUAUCAUACUAAGUGAAAUAAGCCAAUCCCUAAAAACCAAAAGCCAAAUGUUUUCUGUGAUAUGUGGAUGUUAGUUCACAUAAGCAUGGGUUAGGGAAGAAUAGAAGUACUUGGGAUUAGACAAAGGUGAAUGGGAAUAGGAAAGGUAGUAGAAUGAAUCAGGCAUUACUAUCUAUGUGCAUAUAUGAUUACACAUCAAUGUAAUUCUACAUCAUGUACAAUCCAAAGAAUGAGAAACUGAAAAUUUUUAAAAAAUCAUUUGAUUCCAGGGUCAAGACAAAGCCUAGUUCAAAAAGUUAGAAAACACAAUUUCUAAAUCUUCCCAGUCCCCUCAGCAGGGCCUUCUAUAAAUGACAUCACCAGUUAGUAAAACCACAAUAUUCAAGACUUCAAGCUAUAUCUUUAUAAAAUCAAAAUUUAAUCAGCAAACUUUACAGUGGUUCAAACCUAUCCAAUGUAUGUACCUUUAAGGCAAUUGGAUUAGGAUCAUUGGGUGGCAACCUACGUAAGUAGUGUUUCCCUAUCACUAGUCUCUAUUGAUACAGUCUGUUCAGAUGAAUCAAAAAUAAUUAUGAUGUAUGCAAAUAGACUAGAAGAUGUUGAUGAGGUAAAGAAGAAAGUGAAAAGACUGUCUAGUACUUAUUAAGGUUAUUCAUGAGGCUGGGGUUGUGGCUCAGUGAUACAGCACUUGGCUUGUGUGAGGUACUGUGUUCAAUCCUCAGCAACACAUAAAAAUAAAGGUAUUGUGUUCAUUUACAACUAAAAAAAAUUAAAAAUAUGCAUUCAUACUAAUUCCAGUAUCAUAAUUUUAUUUUGGUUUACCUCCAAAUUCUCAAUUCAUGCAAUUUCAGACAUCCUAAGGUCUGAACUAAUUAAACUUACUAGGAUAUCAGAUGUGAAAACCUACUUACAGGAAUAAGAGAUCUAUGCCGAUUCACACACAUAGGUAGUGGCGGCAAUAGAAUCUGAGCCCACGUCACCUGUCAGAGCCCAAUGCUCCUUCUUUUCUACCAUGUUGAUAAAUACUCAUUAAUGGAGAUAUCUUAGAUAGCUCUAGUGUCUAGUUUUAUAAUCAAGGAGACACAAGAAAAUUUAACUUUUUUUCUUAUUUACUGUUACAUAUUGCUACUUUGGUCUUAGGAUUAGAGUGAACACAUCUCAAAAGAGAAAUCUGCAUCAAAAACUCAGAUGGAAGAGUCAAUCUUCCCCAAAUAUUUGUUUUGUUUAAAUUAAAUAAGCAAAAAUGAAGAUUUGGAAGAAACAGUGGUAUUAUUAAUGGCACCAAGUAUGUAUAUCACACAUAUUCAUCUAUUAAUUAGCACCAACAUACAUGUCUUUUCUGGUUCAGUGUGACAAUAGCAGUGCCCAACACAGGUACUUGUUUAUGAGGACUUCUGUUUACAUCAUGUGCUCCAGUGAGGGUAGGCAUUAAGCCUUAUUCAUGUAUAGUGCCUGUCUCAUAAUAAAUGUUUUCUUAUGAUGAAGUUCUAUUAGAUGCAUCAAAAACAAGCCUUAAAACACAAGAUUUUUAUUUUAACACAUUUUUUUUCAUAUUUUUAGUCAGUCGUUUUUCAGAAAAGGGACUGGACCAAAUAUAUUUAGUGCCAAACUGAAUCUUGCAUUUAAUUGAAUUUGAGCUGAAGGUACAUAUUUGAGAUCUGUUUAUUUUAUGUGAAAAACUUCCCAGAAGGAAACUUCCCUAAAUUAGAAAUAAGGAGAGCCCCUAGUUUAAUGCAGAACAAUUAACAUUUUCUUAGGGCUUAAUUUUUUUCAUAAAGUAAAAUUAUACUUACGACAUCUUUCCAGUUUCAAAAUUGUCUGAUGUGUCCAGUUAGGUGUUGUUUUUAAUUAUUCAUUCUUCACCACUAACACUUUUAAUUUUUCAGGCAGCUAUAUACAUUCCAUGAUAUAGGGAACUUACCUAAUUUAUCUUUCAUUGAUAGUAUCUAUCAUAAGGCCUAGCACAUUCCAUAAACAAGUGAUACUUUUUAUUUUAAAAUUAUUCAGUGCCUACAGUGAACCAGGCAUACUGAGCAAGACAGAAUAUGAACAAAUAAGAUGGCAAUAGCAGUUAUAAAGGAAAUAUUCAGAGUGAAUGGUAGAGAAUAAAGGUAGGUAUAUAUGUAUCCUUACAUGUACAUGUAUGUAUAUGCAUACAUUCAGGAAGGAACAAAAUUUGAAAACAUGGAGGAGGUGGGCACGGUGGACCAUACCUAUAAUUCCUGUGACUUGGGAGGCUGAGGCAACUUUGAUCACAAGUUCAAAGCCAGCCUCAGCAAUUUAGUGAGGCCCUUAGCAACUUAGCAAGACCCUGUCUCUAAAUGUGGCUCAGUGGUUAAGCCCUUCUGAGUUCAAUCUCUGAUUAAAAAAGAAAGAAAGAAAGACCAGAGGAAUAAAUAGCAUUUUAUGCAGAAGAUAAGUCUAGAUUAAGGCCCUGAGAUAACUAAGACUUGGGAAUUUGGGAGGUUAGAAGAUAAUCAGUGUGGCUUAAACUGUUAUCAAGGAAAAAUAUGAAACAAACUUAGAAAACAGGAGCAGGUCACAUAUCACUUUGUGAAGAUACACAUCUAUUGCUUUAUAGGUCAAAACAACUUGAAAUAAAAAUUUUGAAACCCAGUGAGCAAAGAAUAGGAUUCUGCAUUGCAUAUCUGAAAGCCCCCAGUCUCUAUGUUCUGACAUUGUUAGUUUUACCUUCCUAAAUGAGAAAUUACAUUAGUAGAAUCAUUACUUCUGAGCAUACACAGGAGGGUAAAAAUCAGUUUCAUGAUAGAAAUAUUAGAGUCCAUUUGAUCAAAGCGAGUUUCUAAAGUCACCCUUCAGUAGCCAAGUGUCUACUAUAAAGAUAGCUGGCUAUAUUUAAUAGAAUCUCAACUCCUAUUUUUCUUCCUUCAUGUUGGCAGUGAAUUUGGUCAUGCUGCAGACUAAGUGACAGUCGAAUGAAGCUUAAAUAAUAGGUGCCAAAUGACAUGAUGAUAUUUGGGUCACCUGUGACAUGGACCACUUUAAACCUGUUUCAUUUUUUUUUUUUUUUUUGCUUUCUUGACACAAAAUAAACAUGUCUCUUAAUGUUAGAUGCUGUCACAUAUGACAGACAAUAAAGCCAUUUGGGAUUUCCUUGAUUCAAACAGAAAAACCAUUCCUAAAUAUCUCAAAAUACCAAGGAGAAGAAUGAACACAAUAAUUUAGAGCUCUUUUCUAUCUGAUUGUUUAAGGUGAACAGUAAUGUGCUAUAGUGGGAGUACCCUUCCCAGGUUCCUCAGAUCUCCCCACACAAGUCCUGGCUUUGUGCCGUAGGCUCUUUCCCACUCUCCACCCUCAACGCUCAGGCCACCCAGAAGUAUGGGAAAUUAUGAGGAAUUAACAGCCUCUUCCAGGCAGUCCUAAAACUGUGACUUUGGGGAAGUAGUAUGUAAAUUCCCCAGUUUUCUCACCCCUCAGAUGAGAUGAAUAUACCACGUAUGGUCUACAUCACUGCACAGUUUCCCUGCAGGAUAAGGCUUAGUCCCUCCCUGCGUUAGCUGGUGUAAGUGCUCAUCCUUGAUUGGCUGCUUCCCUUCCUUGUACCUUCUCCUCACUUUCCUCUCUGCGAUGUCUACACUUCUGAAAUAAACCAUUACACUUGAAUACUCAUCUUAGGAUCUGCUUCUGGGUAUUGAGAAUUAAGAUAAGCAACACAAACAGAAUUUAAGUGGUGAUGAACACCAUGAGAGUACCUGUUAAGUGGGGGGUUCUUCCUUUUCUCUCCAUAUUUUCAUAUGGAAGGACUUCCACCUUGAUGAAUGCCCAGUAGCUUCUCUCCAUAGAAGCGACAUUCAUUUUUUUAUGAUUUUGACUGAUUUCUGGUGGUAGUAGUGGGGAGGGUUAUAAAGAAGCAGAGAAGAAGAGAUUCAUUUUUUCUUCCCUCUUUACCACAGACCAGUAUAAGUGUUAAAUCUGGAGAAAUAUCUGCCUGCCCUACAGACACAAACUUUCCUUCAAUUGGGGCUACCCCCCAAAUCCAGACUAGGGUUUAAAGGUGGGCAUGCAGAGUAUCAGCAACUCUUUCAAGGUGAUGUAUCUAAAGUCACAUUUAUCAGUUGACUUUAUGAAUAUUGAAGCUGGUAUUCCUCAAAGUAUUCAUCCAUAUGCUUCUUUUUUCUUAGCUGAUCCUGAACUUGCCAGUGGCAUGCAUAUAUAGAUCUGUAUAGCUUGGUGCUUCUAUAAUCUCACUGAAAAGAGACUAUUGCCUUGUGACUUUUCACUGAAUAUGAAAACCAUUUUUACCAUUAGGUUCAUAUUUUCCUCUUAGUGAUUAUUUUAAUCUACAAUUAAAAAUUUAGAGGGUUGGAGGGGAAGGAGGGGGCUUGGGGUAAUUAAUGAUGAUGGAAUGUGAUGAUCAUUAUUAUCCAAAGUACAGGUAUGAAGACACGAAUUGGUGUGAAUAUACUAUUUUUACAACCAGAGAUACGAAAAAUUGUGCUCUAUAAAUGUAAUAAGAAUUGUAAUGCAUUCUGUUGUCAUAUAUAAAAAAUUUAGUAUAUAGAAGAUUAAUAACAAUAAAACUUUUAAAGUUCUAAGUAGGACAUACUAAUUUGAAACCUUAUUCACUCAUCACCCUGUUCCCCAAACCCUAAAUGUAUACGUUCACAUUUCCCCCACUUUCAGGCCUGGUUAGUGGUCCUGCCAUACCCUCCCUUCUCAUGGGCUCCUAUCUACCACUGGCCAUUCUGGUUGUACAGCUGCUUUCUACCACUGACAUUGCAGGCUGUUAGGAUUAAGUAACAAAUCUUCCUGCACCCCUCCUGGCCUUUGUGAAGGGAUGUGGUAAGAAGUUGGAUGCUUGUGCCUUCAACAGUUUUCCUCCUGCCUAAGGAGACUCCGAGUAGGUGCCAAACUUUCUGUCUUCCUGUGCAAAGUCAGAAUGCUCUCACCUGGCAGAAAUCUUUCCUUCCAGAUACAGCAGAGCCAGCACAGAUCAUCCUGUCUGUGAUCCCUCCUGGAUGAGCAGAAUAGUAAACGUGUUCGCAGACCGCUCUUUCUAACACAGGCACUUGAAUCUGCUGUAAGCGACUGGCUAGGCCACCGUCUACCGAAGAAACAGAUUCAGAAAGAGAGGCUUGAUGAUGAAGUAAGCAGAAAGUGACGCCAAAGACAUAUUAAGUUCAGACUUGCUCUGUAUCUACAUAACUGUAGCCUUUCUAUUUUUCCUGAGCAGAUAGAGAAUAUUGGGGGUGGGGAGGAUACAAGUGUUUCAUGCAGCAUGUCUUCAUUUUGCGAUGUGACAUCUUUGUAAAGGGGAGGCCACUGGGAGAAUAACUUUUUGCCUAGCUUAUUUCCAGUUUAAGUUUUAUCUUAUCAAAUAGUGCCGCAUAAGAAUUCAGAGGAACUGGGGGUAUAGUUCAGUGAUAAAGUGUGUGCUCAGCAUGUGCAGGACCCUGGGUUCAAUUCCUAACACCAAAAAAAAAAGAAAACAAAAAUCAAAAAGAAAAACUCAGGAAGAUGUGAAUUGGUACUAUAUAUGAUUUACAUAAAUAUAUUUAUAAAUAUAACCAUAUUAUAUAAAUAUACACUUAUAAGUAUAUGAACAUAUAUGCUUAUAUGAUUAUCUAGGGGAAAUCAAAAUCAUAUUCUUUUCCUCUACUAUUGCUAAAGCCCAAUCUCAUCUUCAAUGUCAGAUGGCACUAAUGGUGAACUAAUGAGAAGUUUCUUCUCAAACUUGGGCAAACCUAUGUUAGUGUAUUCUAUGUGACUUAUUCUAGAUUUAUGGCUAUUUUUAAAAGUUGAGUGCUAUAUAUCCUGUAUCUUUUGAAGCGAAACAAAAAUAAUUUCACAUUUAUGUAAAACUUUAUAUUAAACUCCAACUCCAUAAUACAACAACAUUGUGAGGUAGGUUAAUCAUACUGAUCUCACACAUGUAAAACCCAACCUCUGAAAAUGUGAUCAUGUAGCUUUUACAGAACAGAAUUAGGACUCAAUCCUAGGUCUAACUGUAAAUCUUAUGUCCCUUUGAAUGCACUAAUACUCCUUUUCAGGAACUAUCCUCUCAUCAGUGUGGCUGGCCAUAUUUCAAAAUUAAGACUUCAUUCCCUCCUUUUGGAUGCAAAGAAUGAAUUAUAUUUUAUAAGACUGAAACAAUGGCUCAUUUGUCCAGUGGUCAUAGAAUUGAUUAAAGUUUGAAAUAUGUUAGGUAUGUUUAUUUAAGGACUUUAUAGCCAAUCAACAGAUAUACACUGAAGCUUAGUAAAUGCCAGGUAUACUUCUAGCCCCUGAGGAGAGAGUGAGAUCAUUCGACAGAUCUGCUUCCAGGAUGUAUCUCUGAUAUUAAUGGGUGAGAUGUAGAAAAUGAUUACAAAAAAUAAUGCUAAGAAUGUUCAAGUGCAUUGAGAUGAUAAAACUAGGUAGCAAGGAAGGAUGGAAGAGUAGUCUUGCUGCAGCAGUGUGGCCCAAGAAGGAGAGUGACAUUUCAUUUGAGAAUGGAAUGAUGAAGAGCAACUCUGCAAAGAAUGCAAGAGAGUGUUCCAAGUGGAGAGAAAGAAAGUGCAGAUCUUUAGAAGGCAGGACAAGUUUGGCAUUUAAGAAAGAAGGCCAUGGUAUCAGAAGGUUAACAAACAAGGGGACAAAAGGAGGAAAUGGUGUUGGAGAGUUAAGUGGAGACCAAAUCAGAGAUUUCCAAACUAAGCUAGUGUUUAGAUUUUUUUCUAAAUAUAAUGAGAAGCCAUUCAAGGAAUGAUUAUAAGCUGAGCCAUGCUGACCUUAAGUCCUAGCUUUGAUGUUUAAUAGUCAUGGGAUCUUACAAAAUUACUUAAAACAUAGGGCCACAACCUCAUUUGGAAAAUGAGAAUGAUAAAAUUUGCUAUGAUAGUUGUGAAGAUUUUAUGAAAUGCAAUUUGGCUAUAGGUAACAUAGUAAGCUGUGAACAAGAAUACCAUUAGGAAUCAAAGAUAACUCCUCUUACUGCAAAUGACACAAAUGGAAUUAAAAUAAAAUGAUCUGAUAUAGUAAAAGAAGCAGAAAGCAAACAUCAAUCUAUUCAGAGCUUUCUGUGUUUACUAUGGCUUUAAGAACCUUAUAAUCUAGCCUAAGGGUCAGCAUACACAACCAAGGAUAAAUUCUGGGUUAUAUACCAACAGACCCUGGGCAUAUUUUAUAUAAAUCCAUGAAUUAAGAAUAUUUUUCACAUUUUUAGAUGGUUGGAAAAAAAUCUAAAAAAUACUCUUAAUCAUAUAUGCAUACUAUGUUUUAAAUUUCAUAAAUGAAGUGCUGUUGGAACAUGGCCAUUCCUAAUGUGGCAUGUAUUGUCUUCAGCUGUUUAACUUUACACUGGUAGAAUUGAGUAGUCCUGACAGAGACCAUAUGGCCUGCAGAGCCUAAAAGACUUAUUAUCUGGCCCUUUGCAGAGGUCUGACCCCUGAUCUAAUCUAUUUAAAUAACUCAGAAGGAAAAAUUUAAGACUGCUCAUUCUCUAAUCACUUACUGAGCUAUUACAAGUAAGUAAAACAUUAUUUCCUUUCAGAAGGAAGAGAGGCUAAAGCAAAUACUGCUUGAUAUUUGCAUAACAUAUUUUUAAAAAUUACACUCUCAUAAAUAGUGCUGCUAGAUGUUAAGUACCCACCUUCACUAGUGCUUCCCCAUCCAGUCACAGUACAGAUCUCAGAGGAAAACAGAGGUUCCCUGCUAUGUGGGAGACAUACUGGUCUCACCACUGAGUUGUAUUCCAGAGGAGAGCUCAAUUGUAUUAGAGCAAUAUCAUAGUCAUAGGUUACUAUAUCAAAGUCUUCAUGCACUAUGAUGUGUUUGGCCCUUCUCACCUGUAUCAAGGGCAGGUAAGCAAUUACAAGAUAAGAAAAUCAAAGAGUCAAGCUACUUCCUUGCAUAAUGGUCCCAAACAAAUCUUGAAUCUCUUCAUGUCUAUACAUCAGCAAUGAAAAUGAUUUUCAACUAAGUCCAAAAGGGUAAUCUUGGUUUAUAAUUUAUGGGAGGCAAUGAACCACAUUCUGAGGAUUGAUGAUCCUGGAUAAACAAAACUAUGCAGACCUGUGCACAAUCAAUCAACCCGGAUCUGUGCUUCCUGACCUGCCUCACCCAAUUCUCAAAUUAAAAUUUCAUCUCAAAAUGCACCUUUAAAAACAGGUAUACAUUAUAAGUGUAAAGGGGCAUUAGAACAUUCAUAAAUAAUCAUAUUUUAGCUAAAGGUUUUUGAUGGCACAUGAUAUCCUUUAGAAGGUGGAUGGAAUGACCUUUAAAAAAUAACUACCCACCUGCUCAGUUGAUUCCUUUAGGGUUCUAUCAUGGUCCCCAGCAACAACAGUCCAAGAGCGUGGAUUUCCUUUUCUGGAGAAAGAGCAAAAGUUAAUGUGAAAACACACUUUUGUAUUUUGGUCUAAACCCAUUCAGUCCUAUCAACAGGUACUGCUCAUUUUAGCCAGGUAAUACCCAACCCUUCCUAGGUACUCAGUAUGGUCUCCCUGCCACACAAACUACUCCACUACUCCUGAUCUACCUGAGGUAUUGCAUAUCUUGUCUCCUCCUUUUUUCCAUAAAACUGGAGCCCUUAUUAAAUAUCACCAAAGACUAUUUUUAGUCUUAAGGAAAAAUAAAAAAAUUAAAAUAUUUUAAUUUCACAACAAUAUUAUCAGUUCCAAGAUAGGCAAAACUCCCCUAUGGUGUCAGAAAUCAGGGCACUGAUUAUUUCUAGGAGAGUAACUAUAAAGAGGAGCAAUAGGAGGACUGGUAGGUGGUGGUGAUAUUUUGAUAUCUUAUCUGAGUGCUGGUGAUAUGGGCAUCUACUUUGUGAAAGUUAUUUUAACUGUAAACUUGAGGUUGGCACACUUUUUUGAUAGAUUUCAAAAAGACACACAAAAAUCUUCAACAACAUCCAUUAAUUGGCCGUAUCAAGAUCUCCAGCUGAAGAAAUAUCUGAGGAAAAAAACCCCUUAAUUGCCAGAAACAUAUUAUUGCUUGUGCUUGGAGAUUAAUUUUUCCAUUGUUUCAAAACUGUCUUUAGGAAAAGUAAAGUUAUUGAAAUCAACUUUCAUCACACUUUAUUCAAAGGAGAUAUUUCUUAAUAUAUGUAGGCAUCUUUUCUCUAGUCAUAACCAUGCUCAUUUUGAUUCCCUGCAUGACAAGUUUGACUCAGUCAUGUAUUUCAAGAUGCCUUUAUUAAGGGAGCCGACUCCAAUAAAGUGCUUGGCAAGUAACUUGCAGAUGGUAAUGCCUUCAUAAUGGAAGCCAUUAUCAUCGUUAUUAUCUAUCAUGCACUCUAAUGGAAGGAUUAAACUUUAUUUUCAAAGUCACCCCUCUAAAUUAUUACUUGGUAGUGAAGAAACUUAUUUUGCUUUUAUUUCUUGUGGGUGUAGUGGGGUUUGCUGAGGAUCAAAUCCUGGGUCUUGCACAUGCGAGGCAUACACUAUACCAUUGAGCUACAUCCCUAUUCCAGAACUUAGUUCUUAAAGUUACUCCUGUAGUUUUCCAUAUAGGAGAUAGUAUUCACUUUACAGUAAAAUAAUUUUGAAACCAUGGUACAGAUGACAAUGUAGACCUCAUUUUCUAGUUAAAUUUUAUGUGCAGAGUCAAAUAUCCUUGAGUUUUUGUAAAGAAUACCAUGUAAAAAGCAUGUAUCAUAGCAAUAUACACAUUCUUAGGCAACAAAGCCUGAAAUUUUUCCAAUAAUGAGAUAAUAAAUAGCUCAAGGUAUCAAUUGAUGAACUGCUCCAUCCUCUUUUCACUUUUCUGUAAUCCAGUUUCAUCUCUUAUGUCCUUAGGGUCUUAUCCCCAACCCAACAAUGGGACAUGUGUCAAUUGAAAAAAGAGCCAUACUGAAUCAUAGAAAGUAAGUGGCCGAAGUUGAAAGAGUUUCUGAUUUUAAAACAAGAAGAUUCCAAUACAUAAGUGAAAAGUGAAUUUAGUCCCUACAAUAUAUUAAGAGACCCACAUGGGCAAAAAAAAAAAAAAAAAACAA